GUAGGUGAACCUGCGGAAGGAUCAUUAUUGAAUGAACUUGGUGUGGUUGUAGCUGGCUCUCUAGGGAGCAUGUGCACACCGACCAUCUUUAUCUCUCCACCUGUGCACCUUUUGUAGACCUGGGCAAUACUUUCCGAGGCAACUCGGUCGGGGAGGACUGCUGUUUAAUACCAGCUUUCCUUGCAUUUCCAGGCCUACGUUUUCACAUACCCAAAGAAUGUAACAGAAUGUAUCAUUGGGCCUAGUGCCUAUAAACUAUAUACAACUUUCAGCAACAGAUCUCUUGGCUCUC
rnacentral:misc_RNA from 1 species